UACGUAGGGGGCAAGCGUUGUCCGGAUUUACUGGGCGUAAAGAGCGUGUAGGCGGCCACGCAGGUCCGUUGUGAAAACUGGAGGCUCAACCUUCAGACGUCGACGGAAACCGUGUGGCUAGAGUCCGGAAGAGGAGAGUGGAAUCCUGGUGUAGCGGUGAAAUGCGCAGAUAUCAGGAAGAACACCCGUGGCGAAGGCGGCUCUCUGGGACGGUACUGACGCUGAGACGCGAAAGCGUGGGGAGCGAACAGG
rnacentral:rRNA from 1 species